GCGGAUGCGCGGUCUCAUGCAGUAAAUGUCCACAUGUGACGGUCUCAUGUGGAGGCUCUCGGUGCUUACCCGCACGCUGAAGCUCAGUCGCACCAGGCACUGUUCUGGGCUCAGAGACACCAGAGGAAAGAGACAACCCUGUCUUCACGGAGCUUUCCACUUUAGCAGGAGAGACAAGCAAUAAACAAAUGAGGAAAUCGAGGCACAGGGAGAUGAAUCCCUUACUGAAAUCACAGCUGGUAAGCAGAGAGACCGGAGUUCUCACUAGGCUGUCUGGCUCUAGAAGCUGCAAUCUUUGAUCACGUCUCUUUUACUGAGGUAAAUAUGUGGAGUUAAAUAUACCAAGUAUAUAUUAAAUAAGUGAAUCAAUGAACAAGAGACAAAAGAAUGAAGUUUGGGGUGGAGUGAUGGGCUGAGAAAAAGGUGGAGAGCGAUUCUGGCAGAAGAGGGGACCAGCUUGGCGCCCUGCUGGGAAGCCCUAGGGAUGGGAGGAGAAGGUGGAUGGGGCCAGAUGGUGGGGGUCUGGAAGGCCAAAUACAGGGGCUUGAAACUGAGCUCACUCCAUUAUUCAGAGACCUGGCCACAGUGAAGUGCCAUGGGGACAGGCCACCUGGAUCCUUCUUUGUGGAUAAAUUGGCGAGCUGAGUCCAGGGCUCUGGGAGAGCUCAUGGCUGAAGGCGGAGUAACAGUGUUAGUUAGAACGAAAGUUCAACUCUCCAUCUGGGGUUGGAACCCCAGUGCCUUUGCUUCCUGGCCAGGGGACCUUAGGGCAAGUCACUUCCCGUUAUUGAGCUUCAAGUUUCUUAUCUGAAUCAACUUGAAGAGAUAAAAGUCACUAGCCCCGUGCCCGACACGAUAAAUGUACUCAAUGCAUGCUCUUCUACUAUGAAGCAAGGCCUUUAAAGUAGCUCUAAGUUGACUAAAGGAUCUAGUGGAAAAGGUGAACAACAUGCAUAAACAGAUGGGGAAUUUAGGAAGCGAGAAGGACACGUUUUAAAAAGAAGCCGGCUGGAAAUGCUAAAGCCACGCUAAAAAAGAAAACUAUGAUGUCAGAGAAAAAGAAGUCUUAUGAUGAGAUUGUCAACAGAUUCUACCCAGGGAGAAAAGUGAACAUGGUAAUGGGGCAAGAGAAAUCAUCCAAACUGAAAAUAAAAAUUCAUAGUGCGGGCUUCCUAGAUUUAUUAAGACGAUGGAAGCCCAAUGCCAGACACGUGAGCUCAAUGGUAUCAUUCCUUCACUCAUGGAACAAACGGGUUUUGAGCUCCUCAUAUGCAUCAGAUAGUGUUUUCAGACUAGGAUCGCAACAGUGAUCAAGAGAACAAAGGUCCCUGCAAUCAUGAAACAUACAGCUUAGGGAAGAGUCAGACUAAUAAAUAAGUAAAACAGAUAAUAUGCAAAAUGGCAAUAUCACCUGUGGAUUAAAAGCACAGCAGGGGGUCAGGAAAAGUGAAGGGAGAUGCGAUUUUAGAUGAGGUACAAGGAGGCCUCAAUAAGAAGGUGAUAUUUGCGCAAAGGUCUAAAGGAGGCAAUGAAGGGACCCGUGUGAUUACCUGAAAGAGCAUUCUAGAGAGAAUGCAUGGCUGGUGCAAAGGUCCUGGGGCAUGAAUGCUCACAGUCAGCUAGUGGAAAAGCCAGAAGGCCAGAGCUGAAUGAUCUUGACCAAUGGGAAAUAAGAUCAGAGAGGUAAAGAGGAGGUGGGGGCCACCAGGAGGGAAGCAGAUGGUCAUGUUGGGAUGUUUACUUUAACUGUGACUAGGAUGGUAUCUGUUGGAGGAUUUUGGUCAGAAGAGUGGUGGGAUCCCUCUGGCUUCUGGAGAGCAGACCAGAGAGGGUCAGGUGGAAGCUGGGAGGCCAGUGGGAAGUCUAUGGUGAAAUUAGGGCACCCGGAAUGAAGGUGAUGGCAGAGGAGGUGAUGGCAGGCUUUAGAUGCAGGGUGCAUUUCAAAGGCUGGGCCGAUGCCAGGAGAGUCAUGGUUACUGCUGCUGUUGUUAGGGCCCCUCACAAGCCUUUUCAGGGGGUCCCCACCCAGAGAAGCAGAAACAAAGGUGCCCACUUGGCCCCUCCUCCAGGGGCAUCUCACUAAUCUUGCUGGGUAACUGGUUGCCAAGAACACUCUCCCAGCACUGGGGUGCUGGGUAGGGCAGGAUCCUAGCCCCCAGGCAGCCGUGGCUGGGGAGGCAGGCUCAGGUCUGCUCUGCCAAAGCCCCAGCUCCACAGCUGCAAAGCUGAGUUGUUUACUCAGAAUCAGCAAAGGUCAAGAGCAUGUUCAUCUGAGGGAGCUGGUGCCUGCAGCACCAGGCAGUCCCCCUCUCCCUCUAAAUCUUCAUGGAGAGAGGAAGUGGACAGCCUCUCCAAGAUACCCCAACAUGCUCGCUCCCUCGUUCCCUCCCUCUCCUUCUGCACAAGCCGCCCCUGCCUGGCUGGCUGUCAUGGGUCCCUUGCUGGUGCCUCUGCCUCCAUCCCACCCUGUUCCAUCCACCCCACUAAGGGCAAGAGAGAGGACCUUUCUGGGAGCUCCCUUUGUGACUCAGGGGUAACAAACCUGACUAGUAUCCAUGAGGAUCUGGAUUCAAUCCCUGGCCUCGCUCAGUGGGUUAAGAAUCUGGUGUUGCCAUGAGCUGUGGGGGAGGUCACAGGUGCGGCUUCGAUCCCGCAUUGCUCUGGCUGUGGCAUGGCCAGUGGCUGCAGCUCUGAUUCGACCCCUAGCCUGGGAACUUCCCUGUGCCUCGGGCGUGGCCCUUAAAAAAAAAAAAAAAAAGUGAAAAUAAAUAAAUAGAGAGAGAGAGAGAGGCAGGCCUGUCUGAAAAAAAUAUGGCAACAGCAUGGAGUCCUCUUCCCACCUUUCUGUACCUGGCGAACUCCCAUUCAUCUGUCAAAGCACUCUUCUCCAGAACUACCCCAGGCUGGGUUCUCCUUCUGGCUCCCACAGCCCCGUGCUCACCCCUCCUUUUUCCAUUCACAUUGUGUUACAAGGACUGAACAAAUAGGCAGACAUGCCCCUCUCUGCCGUCCCUGGCAGAUGACACUAACCCAGCAGGGUGGUCUUUCCAACCCCCGGCCCCGAGCUUGGAUGUGGCCUCAGGAUCAGCAUUCUAGGACUAGCAGUGCUAGAAAGAGGUGAACAGAUAGGUUCAAACCUUUUGUUUUGGAGUUCCUGUUGCGGCUCAGCAGCUUAAGGACCCAAUGUUGUCUCUGUAAGGAUGCGGGUUUGAUCCCUGGCCUUGCUCAGUGGGUUGAAAAUCCAGUACACUGCACGCUGUGGUGUAGGUCACAGAUGUGACUCAGAUCCGGUGUUGCCAUGGCUGUGGUGUAGGCCACAGCUGCAGCUCUGAUUUAAUCCCUAGCCUGGGAACUUCCAUAUGCCGCAUGUAUGGACCAAAAAAAAAAAAACCCUUUAACUCGCCUCCAAUUGCCUGUUAAUUAUAUGCAACACACAGACACACACCUUUAGACAAUUGCUUCCUUCCUAGAGGGUAGGGCUAGCAGUCUUAUUCAUCUCCCUCUUGCUCUAGGAUAGCACAGAGGGCGUGUGCUCACAAGGCUUAUCCUACAUCCGGGCCCUGACUAUGGCCUGAGGAUGGCUGGGAAGAACGUCACUGACAAACUGGUCCUCUCCCCACAUUUCAGAGGAGACACUGAGGUCAGGGGAGAAGGCCUUUGCCCGGAGCCACCCAGAAAGACAAGCAGCACCGCCCCCGCCCCCCCGGGCCUAGAACCCCCAUCGCCUCCACCAGCCCUGCCCUGCUGUGGUUCUCUGCCCUCCGCUGGGCUUCCUGGAAUGACUUUGUACCAAAUUCCAAUUAGCAUUUGUGUCUGGUCUGUUUGACAUGGGGCCUCCCUCAGAGAAAUUCACAGACCAUGCGGGGAAAAUUUGGGGAACUGAAACUCUCACCCCCUCUCUUGACUGUCUUCCUCACUAAGUGUGUAUUAACUGUUAAUUUACAUCUCAUGUUAAAAGCCAAGAUUUAUAGAGUAGGGAUCAGGCUCCACAGCACAUCCCAGGGCUGACCCAUGUCUCACGAUAAAAGCAUUCUGGGGACAACCUUUCCUGGAAAUGCAACUGAGAUAUUCUCCUCGAGAAGUUUCACGUUAUACAUUAGCAUAUACGGAAAGGACUCUAACUCAUGCAAAGAAGAAAAAAAAAAAA
ensembl:lncRNA